GACGAACGCUGGCGGCGUGCUUAAUACAUGCAAGUCGAACGGUAAGGCCCCAGCUUGCUUGGGUACACGAGUGGCGAACGGGUGAGUAACACGUGGGUGACCUGCCUCGCACUUCGGGAUAACCCUGGGAAACUGUGUCUAAUACCGGAUAGGACCGCACCGUGCGGGUCUUUUGGAAAGAUUGUCGGUGUGGGUUGCGCCCGCGGCGUAUCAGCUUGUUGGUGGGGUAAUGGCCUACCAAGGCGGCGCCGGGUAGCCGGCCUGAGAGGGUGGACGGCCACAUUGGGACUGGGACACGGGCAGGAGUGCUACGGGGGGCAGCAGUGGGAAAUAUUGCACGAUGGGCGGCAUCCUGAUGCAGCGACGCCGGAUGGGAGAUGACGGCCUUAGGGGUAGAAACUCUUUGCGACAUCGAAGAAGGUUUUCUGACGGUAGAUUGCGAAGAAGCACCGGCUAACUACGUG
rnacentral:rRNA from 1 species